rnacentral:rRNA from 1 species
AACGAACGCUGGCGGCAUGCCUAACACAUGCAAGUCGAACGAGACCUUCUGGUUGAGCCACGCACAGGUUCGUAACGGGGGGGAACCUGCGUAUAGGUUCGGAAUAACGGACCGGAAGGGGUGCGAAUACCGGAUAAUGACAUCGGAUCAAGGAUUUAGCGACCUUGGAUUGGUCCGCGUUGGAUUAGCUAGUUGGUAGGCUAACAUCCUAUCAAGGCGACGAUGCAUAGCUGGGAUGGGAGGAUGAGCAGCAAGACUGGGACUGUGACACGGCCCAGCCUCCGACGGGCAGCAGCAGUGAAGAAUAUAGGACGAGGGGCGCAAGCCUGCACCAGCACUGCCGCGUGAAAGAUGAAGGCCUUAGGGUUGUGAAGCUCCAUUACCCGAGAUGAAAAUGACAGUACCGGGAGAAUAAGCGCCGGCUAACUCCGUG